UUUAAAAAGCAAUGCAAUUUUAAUAUAUAUAUAUAUAUAUAUAUAUAUGCAUAUAUGGAAAUUAUAAGUUAUAUUAGAAGAAGGCCAUUUGCAUGCACAUGUGCCGUUUCUUCCCAUUCUUUCUAUUUUGUUGGGUAAUAUUACACGUCAUGUUUCAUCCUAAUUACAGUAUCAUAAAAAAAAAUCAUAUAAAUAUCAUAAACACAAAACAUGUUUUCAUAAAUGGAGGAACGGCUUGCAUCUAAAGAGAAACUCUUACCAAGAUGGAGUGUAUGGGACGACUUGUCCAAUCCCACCUGGAAAGAAUUACACUUAUGCCUUCCAUCUCGAAGACCAGAUCGGAAGUUUCUUCUACUUCCCUUCGCUGGCCGUUCAAAAAGCCGCCGGUGGUUUUGGUGCCAUCCGUAUCCUCAGUCGCCCUGGCACGCCCGUCCCUUUCCCGCAACCAGCCGGAGACUUCACCAUCCUCAUCGGGGAUUGGUAUACUGGGGAAGACCACAAGGUUUAUAUCUUAAUUAUUAACUUAUCAUGUUUGCUUAGCACAACGGCUGGCUCAAGAUUAUUGUGGGUUUACAUGGCGAUUUUUAAUUUUAUUUUUGGAUUCACAUUGGAUUUCUAGACCUUUUUAUUAAAUAAUGUUUGUUUUUAAAAAGUGUUACUAAUCCACACGUAGGAUUUAAAGGCACGUUUGGAUGGAGGACGCAUGAUACCUAGGCCUUAUAGUGUUUUGAUCAAUGGCAAUGAAGACACCGCCUCUACUUCUCUAACUGUCGACAAAGGUUAAUGUUUAAAACUCCAAACUCUAAUAUGUUAGUUACAAAGAAGAGCAUUUUCGCGAUCUCAUCAUCACUUUCAUGGGUUAAUAAUUAACAGGUAAAACGUACAGAUUCAGAAUAUCAAAUGUGGGGCUUCAACUGUCCCUAAACUUCGAAAUAUUAGGUCAUAUGUUGAAGCUCGUUGAGGUCGAGGGAACCUACACAAUCCAAACCAAGUUCACUUCACUCGACAUUCACGUUGGUCAAUCUUACUCUGUCCUGGUCACCAUGGACCAGCCUCCCCAAAACUAUUCGAUUGUCGUGGGGACGAGAUUCACUGACUCACGAUCUACGAAUAGAAUUAUUCUUCACUACUCCAACUCCAAAAGCUCUAAAUUUGUCCCUAAUAGACAACCUGACAAUGACAUAGACUUUUCGAUUAAACAGGCUCGGUCCAUUAAGACUAACCUGACUGCGUCCAGGCAAAGGCAAGAUGCUCAGGGCUCAUACCAUUAUGGUCGAAUCAAGAUUUCUAGGACAUUAAUACUUGAAAGCUCAGCAGGCGUUGUGAACAGGAAGCAACGAUAUGCCAUAAAUGGCGUAUCAUUCGUUCCUGCUGAUACUCCACUGAAGCUAGCAGAUUAAUGAACAGGAAGCAACGAAAUGCAAUAAAUGGCGUAUCAUUCGCUCCUGCUGAUACUCCACUGAAGCUAGCAGAUUACUUUAAGAUCAAAGGUGUUUUCAAAGUAGGAAGCAUCCCAGAUAAGCCUGGAAGAGCAGGGAUCAGACUAGAAACAGCAGUGAUGGGAGUACACCACAAGGAUUUUCUUGAGAUCGUCUUUCAAAACCGCGAGAAGUACGUCCAGACUUACCAUCUCGAUGGAUACAACUUCUGGGUUGUCGGGUGAGAACAAUAACUUAAUCAUAUACUAUGGUAAUGAUAUUAAGCAUUGAAGGUCAUUGACGUAUGUGACUUCUCAACAGGAUUGGUAAUCGAUGGUCUACAUGGUCACAGGCGAGCAGACGAGACUAUAACCUCAGGGAUGCUAUUUCUCGCUCCACUACUCAGGUGACGUGAACUCUCUCCAUAUAUCUAUACAGUUUUGGAAUUUGUUGUCAAUAGAUUUUAUGCAAAGCUCAUACAAUUCCCCGUGGGGCACGUCCCCUCCCAGCUGAAAUUUAGUCACCAAUGAUAAUUUGAUCAUCAAUGUUCACAAUGAUCUGGACGAGCCUUUUCUCUUGUCUUGGUAUCUAUUUAUUUACCUCUUUCGUUUCACCUUUCGGUAAACAUAAUUUGAACCCGAUUCACAUGAAAUAUUUCUACAUCCAUUUAAAAAGCAAUGCAAUUUUAAUAUAUAUAUAUAUAUAUAUAUAUGCAUAUAUGGAAAUUAUAAGUUAUAUUAGAAGAAGGCCAUUUGCAUGCACAUGUGCCGUUUCUUCCCAUUCUUUCUAUUUUGUUGGGUAAUAUUACACGUCAUGUUUCAUCCUAAUUACAGUAUCAUAAAAAAAAAUCAUAUAAAUAUCAUAAACACAAAACAUGUUUUCAUAAAUGGAGGAACGGCUUGCAUCUAAAGAGAAACUCUUACCAAGAUGGAGUGUAUGGGACGACUUGUCCAAUCCCACCUGGAAAGAAUUACACUUAUGCCUUCCAUCUCGAAGACCAGAUCGGAAGUUUCUUCUACUUCCCUUCGCUGGCCGUUCAAAAAGCCGCCGGUGGUUUUGGUGCCAUCCGUAUCCUCAGUCGCCCU
rnacentral:lncRNA from 1 species